rnacentral:rRNA from 1 species
UACAGAGGGUGCGAGCGUUGUUCGGAAUUAUUGGGCGUAAAGAGCUUGUAGGCGGUUUGUCGCGUCUGCUGUGAAAUUUCGGGGCUCAACCCCGAACUUGCAGUGGGUACGGGCAGACUAGAGUGUGGUAGGGGAGACUGGAAUUCCUGGUGUAGCGGUGAAAUGCGCAGAUAUCAGGAGGAACACCGAUGGCGAAGGCAGGUCUCUGGGCCAUAACUGACGCUGAGAAGCGAAAGCAUGGGGAGCGAACAGG